CCUCCUGCUUGAUCCUGCCUGCUUACUACAUGGUCUCUUGGAAUACAGCAUACCUUUUCUACUCCGUGGCAUUUCGACUUUUUUUUUUCAAUUCACACUGCAAAGCACGGACGGAUGCCAGCUUGACCAACAGUGUUUAACCUUUCCUUCCCCUUCCUCCUCUGUGCUCGUAACCUGUUUAUCCAUUUGUCUGUCUGACCUGCAUUUUAACCUCCUGUCAAUACCCUUUGACCCCACUGUUUCAUGAUUAAUGCUGAGACCCCCUUGACAAUGUUACUAUGUAUUAACUGGUUGAAGCCUUUCCUUGCCUUGUUGUUUUCCACCUUGCUUAAACGAGGCCAGAAUUGUCCAACCAGCUGUUUGUGUCCUGACCACCACACUGUGAACUGCUCUGGCCAAGGUCUAACUGGAGUACCAGAUUCCAUUCCUCUGGACGUCCGCCGUCUCCUACUAUCCAACAACUGGAUUCCAUGGAUCCCUUCUGACUUCCUGGUCCUUUACACAGAUCUGGUGUAUUUGGACCUAAGGAAUAACUCCCUUUCCCAGCUGGAGCCAGGGACCUUGAGCACCUCUUCAAGAUUAGUCUUCUUGGACUUGGGAAACAAUAACCUGACUGAAAUCCCCUCAGGAACAUUUGAGGAAUCAAGGAGUCUGAUUAAACUACGACUAGGGGACAAUCCCUAUCUAACUAUGGUAGGCAGAGAUGUUUUUACAGGGUUGACGUCUUUGAGGGAAUUGGAGCUGGAGAGGAAUGGUCUCACAGGGCUGGAUGUCAGGGUCCUGGAACCUUUGCCCUCCCUUAACAUGGUGCGUUUGGAGGGCAACCCCUGGCUUUGCAACUGCCACUUUGCCAAAUUGUUUGUAUGGCUGACAAAUAAUCAGCAUAAGCUCCCAACAGGUCAGCAGAUCCGCCCCACUUUCUGGCAUCUGGACAGGAUCCAGUCCACCUACGGAGAGGGUACACCUGCGUGUCUGCUAUUCUCUUUUUUUCUUUUUUCCAUAAGCAGUGGAUUGGGCAGCGGCACUUCUCUAAAGAGGUGCGGUGAUAAAGUUAUCUGUCCCGCUAGCUGUUACUCCAGGGUUGAACACGUGAAGGAAUUUCCCCCCCAUUCCAGUAGAAACUGCCGGGCCUGUUUCAUCUUUGCACACUGCCUCGGGAAAAUAAGUAUAGAUUUCCUCCCUGGCUGCCAUCUUUGCUUUGAAGAUGUUGGAGGAAGAUCAAUUAGAAGGGGAAGAAAACGUCAGAAUCUGGAAGGACUGUGAAACAGGACAACAGCUUUAUCAGUUGUCAGUGACUACUCCUGAUCAUGUGGUCCACGGGUCCAAGUAUAUUCUGAAAAGAUACCAGAAAGCCCCAAGUCUGUCGCAGAGACAAUCAAGUAUGACAGUGUGAACAAGACAACCCUGUCACAUACCAGCAUCACUGUUGAGGCCUGGAGAGUCCCUGCCUUGGAGCCAGCCACACCUCUGAUAAUCACUCACCUGUUGUCGAUCUGCCUAAAUCAAGGAGCUCUACUUAAGAGAGCAGUGGAGCAGCAGUCGGCGCAGGAUUGUUAAACUAGAAAUACAGGUGAUUACGGAAACGUGUGGAGGGAGCAGCACACUGUUGAACACAGGCACCGAGGAGGACGAAACACUACCACGCAUCACUGAGAGGAAUCACGGAAUGGGGAAUUGGGAGAGCACACACUGUGGAUUGUUGGCACUGUUUUCUCUGUAAAUAAACACACUUUCUCCAUUCUAAAAGUCCAGCAUUUGGGUUCUCCUUCAGCCAGCCUUGACAUGUACAGAGGGAAAACUAUAAAAUACGGUGGUUGCCCAAAAACCGAUGGACUCAGUUUCUCUAGAAAUAUCUUUGUACUCUUGUGCCACCUAUUCUCAGCUGGUGAUACCACAGGUAGCACUGAAUUACAGCAGCCUACUGUAGCAAGUGUUCAUGCCUGUGAGAGCAGGAGCCUGCUGUAAUUGUACGUGACACCAGGUAAGGUCACUUAGUCCCUUUUCAUGUGGAAAACCCCCUCUGGUCUUACAGUGACUCAUGCACACGCACACGCACACACACACACACACACACACACACACACACACACACACACAUUUGGGCAUAACAUGGCAUCAGAGGAAUAAAAUUGAACUGCCUCUCUAAACACAUGUUUUUAAGUUGUUAGUAUGACACACACACACACAGACACACACACACACACACACAGUGUAAUAGCAUUUUUGUUACACAUGGCUUGCAGAAACUAAAAGAGCUCUACAAUAUAAAUA